AUGAGGGUUGCUAUGACGCUGCCAUGCCAGCACGGCGCAGCGUGCUGUUAAAAUCACCGUCCCUGCGUGGUGUCCCUCAGUGAUCGUGAAUGUUAUUCACGUUAUAUAAUAUUAAUAUUUGAGGCUAGAUUACACCUCUAAUGCGAAGGAUCCUGCGAGACCGUUCAUCCCGAAGGGGGACCGACUGCGCCACGGACGGACCAGGCGAGCGGAACUGGCGUGUGGCUUUUAGUAAACAUCCGGUUCUUUAACUCGGGGCUGCGUAGUAACCACCGAGCGCUGGGAAGACAAACGAUGUCAUCUUCCUUCUGUCAGGACGAUCCAAGUGAAGGUACAGGAGUUUCAUUAACGUCAAUAACUUGGACCGAACACUUUGCUUUGCUUGAUGAAGAGCAGGAAGGGCAGCCUGGAGAGAAAGAGAAGCCGGGUUGAGCCCACUACCAUCAUCCACGUACCACGAGGAAGAUGCGGGAGAGAAAUGAUCCUACCAUUAAAGAGACUGUGAAAAGAGCGUUGCGAACAUCACCAAUCUACAGGAAGACACAGUCCAGUAAUGGGUGUCAGAAGUUCAGUAGUGAAUGACAGGAAGGACUGAUGCAUGUACUGAGACGGGACGUGAGGGCCUACUCUGCGUGCUCAGA